CUCCCCUCCAUGAUGACAAUGGACUGACCCUCUGAAACACAGUCUGAAGAGGUAGCCAUCAAGCUAAAGUUGAGAGACGUUCAAGCCACUUGUUAAGUCCUACAACCAACCACUAGCUGAAUCAAGUUCAACAGCAGGCGUCUAUCUGAGACUUCCGAAUGCCAAGAACUGAAAAGUACCUGCUAAUGAGCAUAAAAUUCCUCACCUGGGAAAUGAGUGCGCCUUGGGAUUGACUCUUCACCCUGCAGCGCUGCUCAGCUUCUCUCUAUCGUAAUUGUUACAGUAACAGCAGUUUCUGUCUCUCACAGGUAACUCUGCAGUAAAUAAAUGGCUUUUUAAAAGUUUA